GGAAGCGAAUGGGUUGGGACCUCAGGGUUUUCCGGAGCUGAAGAAUGACACAUUCCUGCGAGCAGCCUGGGGAGAGGAAACAGACUACACUCCCGUUUGGUGCAUGCGCCAGGCAGGCCGUUACUUACCAGAGUUUAGGGAAACCCGGGCUGCCCAGGACUUUUUCAGCACGUGUCGCUCUCCUGAGGCCUGCUGUGAACUGACUCUGCAGGUGAGGGGUCCACAAAAGAGGGAAAGAUUUAUGCCUUCAGUCUGCCACCUAGCAACCUGUCUCCUGUUUCCUACAGCCACUGCGUCGAUUCCCUCUGGAUGCUGCCAUCAUUUUCUCCGACAUCCUUGUUGUACCCCAGAUGUUUUCUCCCCCUCCAGGCACUGGGCAUGGAGGUGACCAUGGUACCUGGCAAAGGACCCAGCUUCCCAGAGCCAUUAAGAGAAGAGCAGGACCUAGAACGCCUACGGGAUCCAGAAGUGGUAGCCUCUGAGCUAGGCUAUGUGUUCCAAGCCAUCACCCUUACCCGACAACGACUGGCUGGACGUGUGCCGCUGAUUGGCUUUGCUGGUGCCCCAGUAAUGUGGGACAGGGCAGGGACUCGGGGCGCGGGGAGAUCACUCUGGAAGGUCUGGGGUAGACAAAAGGAAGGGUCAGUCUGGCUUCUGUGACACCAUCUUUCUAUCCUUCUCUAGUGGACCCUGAUGACAUACAUGGUUGAGGGUGGUGGCUCAAGCACCAUGGCUCAGGCCAAGCGCUGGCUCUAUCAGAGACCUCAGGCUAGUCACCAGCUGCUUCGCAUCCUCACCGAUGCUCUGGUCCCAUAUCUGGUAGGACAAGUGGCGGCUGGUGCCCAGGUGAGUCCUGAGAGAGAGAGAAAUAGGCUGGGAUUUGGUCUGUAAGGACC
rnacentral:sRNA from 1 species